UAUUAAUAUCACCCGAACUCGAAACCUAUAGAUAUGUUGCUGCGGGGGAAAAAAAUCUCAAAAACCCCUCGUAAUAAAUUAAAAAAAAAAAAAACUAAAUAAUAUUGUAUUACCGGGCCGGCACGGCGACUUGAAACCUGCAUUUUUGACACGUCUUCGUACCUACCCUGCAAAAAAAACGUCUUAAAUUAAAUUAAAUUAC